UGACAUUUUCUCUCCUCACUUUUUCUUUCUUUAUUUUCUCUCCCCUUAAUUAUUUGCUCUUUUUCUUUCUCUCUCAUUGCUCUUUCUCUUUUCUCUAUCCUCCCUUUCUCUAUCCUCACUUUUUCUCUCUUAUCUUUUAUUUAUGACACAACUAAAUAUUAUUAAAAAAAAAUGGGCCAAUUACUUAUAUACUCCUGAAAAGUUUUCGACUUUCUGAUUUACCCCUUUUAGAAGUCUAAUAUUGAAAAUAUUUUUUUUACAUUCCAACUUAUUUUAAAUAUAAUCCUAGAGUUAAAAUCUGUUAAUGAAUUCUGUUAUCUGUAAAAAAUUAUUAUUUUGCCUUUUUAAAUAUACUCUUCCGCCAUCAUCGACUUUUCUUAUUUGUCCUUAAGUCAGGGGCACAAAACGUAUUUUGACUUUUGGUCUUUUCAAAUAUACUUCUCUACCGUCGCCAAUAUUUCUUAUUUGCCCUUAAGUUAAGGGUAAAAUUGGUAUUUCAAUUUUUUUUAACCGUGGUAGAUAUUUAACUCACGUUUAAUCCAAGUUAACUUAACGGGUGGUAACUGUAGGAAUAUUUUGGAAUUACGGAGGAACAUAUAAGGGGUAUGUUGGAAAGGAAAAAAAAUGUAGGGGUAAAUGAGAUAUUUCUGAAGUUUUGAGAGGUAUAUAGGUAAUUAUCUAAAAAAAAAAAAUUUAUAGAAGCAAUGUUUA
rnacentral:lncRNA from 1 species